CGCGCGCGGCGACGGCCGCCUGGAGGGGUUCCGGUUCUGUUUAUUUGCAUGCGCGGGCCCGCGUCGUCCCAGCGGGGCGGACUGGCGGGUUUUGACUGGUCUACGGUCCUGAGGUGGAGAGGUUGGCUUUAUUCCUGGGCAGAAGGGGUGAGGGAGCCGGAGGUGAGGCGUCUGGGCUGUCAGCGACCCGCGAGGACUUGAAGUAGACGCGGCGGCGUCCGGAGUGGCUCCGGGCUCCCGCCCGGGUGCAGCUGCAGCGGGAGGGAAGGAACGACAGUCCGAGUGGCCCUCCUUCCUUUGUGUCUGGGUUGGAAUACUCACCUCGGCGCCCCGGGACUGCGUGGGCCGCCUGCGGGGGUGACGCCUCCUCCGCAGGUCGGAGGUUCCCGGGGGUCUUCAGGUGCCCCCCGGCUGCUGAGGCCCAGCUCAUGGUUGACAGAGAAGGAAAAAUUUGAGGGAGGAUGGAUGCAAAAGCUCGAAAUUGUUUGCUUCAACAUAGAGAAGCCCUGGAAAGGGACAUCAAAACAUCCUACAUCAUGGAUCACAUGAUUAGUAAUGGAGUUUUAACAGUGUCGGAGGAGGAAAAAGUAAAAAAUGAGCCCACCCAGCGGCAACGAGCAGCUAUGCUAAUUAGAACGAUACUUGAAAAAGAUAAUUAUUCCUAUAUAUCAUUCUACAAUGCUCUGCUACAUGAAGGGUAUAAAGAUCUUGCCUACCUUCUCCAUGGUGGCAUUCCUGUCAUCUCUUCUUCCAAUGGCAAAGAUUCAGUUGGAAUAACUUCAUAUGUAAGGACAGUCCUAUGUGAAGGUGGAGUACCACAGAGGCCCGUUGUUUUUGUUACUAGGAAGAAGCUAGUGAAUGCAAUUCAGCAGAAGCUCUUCAAACUGAAUGGUGAACCGGGAUGGGUCACCAUAUAUGGAAUGGCAGGUUGUGGGAAGUCCGUAUUAGCUGCAGAAGCUGUUCGAGAUCAUUCUGUCUUAGAAGUUUGUUUCCCAGGGGGUGUGCAUUGGGUUUCAGUUGGGAAACAAGACAAAUCUGGGCUUCUGAUGAAACUGCAGAAUCUUUGCACACGGUUGGAUCAGGAUGAGAAUUUCUCCCAGAGGCUUCCGCUUAAUAUCGAAGAGGCUACAGACCGUCUCCGCAUUCUGAUGCUGCGCAAACAUCCAAGGUCUCUGUUGAUCUUGGAUGAUGUUUGGGAUCCUUGGGUGUUAAAAGCUUUUGACAAUCAGUGUCAGAUUCUUCUUACAACCAGAGACAAGAGUGUUACAGAUUCAGUAAUGGGUCCUAAAUAUGUAGUCCCUGUGGAGAGUGGUUUACGAAAAGAAAAAGGACUUGAAAUUUUAUCCCUUUUUGUUAAUAUGAAGAAAGCAGAUUUGCCAGAACAAGCUCACAGUAUUAUAAAAGAAUGUAAAGGUUCACCUCUUGUAGUGUCUUUAAUUGGUGCACUUUUACGAGAUUUUCCCAACCGCUGGGAGUACUACCUCAGGCAACUUCAGAAUAAGCAAUUUAAGAAGAUAAGGAAAUCUUCAUCUUAUGAUUAUGAGGCUUUGGAUGAAGCCAUGUCUAUAAGUGUUGAAAUGCUCAGAGAAGACAUCAAAGAUUAUUACACAGAUCUUUCCAUCCUUCAGAAAGAUGUUAAGGUGCCUACGAAGGUGUUGUGUAUCCUCUGGGAUAUGGAAACUGAAGAAGUUGAAGACAUACUGCAGGAGUUUGUUAAUAAGUCUCUCUUGUUCUGUGAUCGAAAUGGAAAAUCAUUUCUUUAUUAUUUACAUGAUCUUCAAGUAGAUUUCCUUACAGAGAAGAAUCACAGCCAGCUUCAGGAUCUACACAAGAAACUAAUCACUCAGUUCCAGAGACAUUACCGGCUACAUUGUCUUUCACCAGAUCAGGAGGACUGCAUGUAUUGGUACAAUUUUCUGGCCUAUCACAUGGCUAGUGCUAAAAUGCACAAAGAACUGUGUGCUUUAAUGUUUUCCCUGGAUUGGAUUAAAGCAAAAACGGAGCUCGUAGGCCCUGCUCAUCUGAUUCAUGAAUUUGUGGAAUACAGGCAUAUGUUGGAUGAAAAGGAUGGUACAGUCUGUGAGAAUUUCCAGGAGUUUUUAUCUUUAAAUGGACAUCUUCUUGGACGACAGCCAUUUCCUAAUAUUGUACAACUGGGCCUCUGUGAACUGGAAACUUCAGAAGUUUAUCAGCAAGCUAAGCUGAAGGCCAAGCAGGAGGUCGAUAACGGAAUGCUUUACGUGGAAUGGAUAAACAAAGAAAACAUCAAGAAUCUCUCCCGCUUGGUCGUCCGCCCCCAUACAGAUGCUGUGUACCAUGCUUGCUUUUCUGAGGAUGGUCAAAGAAUAGCUUCUUGUGGAGCUGAUAAAAACUUGCAGGUUUUCAAAGCUGAAACAGGAGAAAAACUUCUAGAAAUCAAGGCUCAUGAGGAUGAAGUGCUUUGCUGUGCAUUCUCUGCAGAUGACAGAUUUAUAGCAACCUGCUCAGUGGAUAAAAAAGUGAAGAUUUGGAAUUCUAUGUCUGGGGAACUAGUGCAUACCUAUGAUGAGCACUCAGAGCAAGUCAAUUGCUGCCACUUCACCAACAAUAGUAAUCACCUUCUCUUAGCCACUGGUUCAAAUGACUGCUUCCUCAAACUCUGGGCUCUGAAUCAAAAAGAAUGUCGAAAUACCAUGUUUGGCCAUACAGAUUCAGUCAAUCACUGCAGAUUUUCACCAGAUGAUAAGCUUUUGGCUAGUUGUUCAGCUGAUGGAACAUUAAAGCUUUGGGAUGUGAAAUCAGCAAACGAGAGGAAGAGCAUUAAUGUGAAGCAGUUCUUUCUAAAUUCAGAGGAGCCUCAAGAGGAUAUGGAAGUGAUAGUGAAAUGCUGUUCAUGGUCUGCUGAUGGUGCUAGGAUAAUGGUGGCAGCAAAAAAUAAAGUCUUUCUGUUUGACAUUCACACCAGUGGCCUGUUGGCAGAAAUCCACACAGGCCAUCAUAGCACUGUCCAGUACUGUGACUUCUCCCCCCAUAACCAUUUGGCAGUGGUGGCUUUGCCCCAGUACUGCGUGGAGUUGUGGAAUAUGGACUCAUGUUUAAAAGUAGGUGAUUGCAGAGGACAUUUAAGUUGGGUCCAUUGUGUGAUGUUUUCUCCUGAUGGAUCAUCAUUUUUGACGUCUUCUGAUGACCAGACAAUCAGGCUCUGGGAGACAAAGAAAGUAUGUAAGAACUCUGCUAUAGCGUUAAAGCAAGAAAUAGAUGUUGUGUUUCAAGAAAAUGAAGUGAUGGUUCUUGCAGUUGACGAUAUAAAACGUCUGCAACUCAUUAAUGGAAACACAGGUCAGAUUGAUUAUCUGACUGAAGCUCAAGUGAGUUGCUGUUGCUUAAGUCCACAUCUUCAGUACCUUGCAUUUGGAGGCGAAGAUGGAGCCAUUCGGAUUUUAGAACUCCUAAACAACAGAAUCUUCCGAUCCAGGAUUGGGCACAAGAACACUGUACGGCACAUGCAGUUCACAGCUGAUGCAAAGACUCUUAUCUCAAGCUCUGAUGACUCUGCAGUUCAGGUAUGGAAUUGGCAGUCAGAGGAAUAUGUCUUUCUGCAAGCCCAUCAGGAAACUGUGAAAGACUUUAGACUCUUGAAAAAUUCAAGACUGCUUUCCUGGUCGUUUGAUGGAACAGUGAAGGUAUGGAAUAUUAUUACUGGAAGAACAGAAAAAGACUUUGUCUGUCAUCAGGAUACAGUUCUUUCUUGUGAUAUUUCUCCUGAUGCAACCAAGUUUUCUUCUACCUCUGCUGACAAGACUGCAAAGAUUUGGAGUUUUGAACUCCUUUCCCCUCUUCAUGAAUUGAGAGGCCACAAAGGCUGCGUGCGCUGCUCUGCCUUCUCUGUGGACAGUACCCUGUUGGCAACUGGAGAUGACAACGGAGAAAUCAGGAUAUGGAAUGUCUCAAAUGGUGAGCUUCUUCAUUUGUUUGCUCCGAUUUCAGUAGAAGAAGGAGCUGCUACUCACGGAGGCUGGGUGACUGACCUUUGCUUUUCUCCAGAUAGCAAAAUGCUUGUUUCUGCUGGAGGAUAUCUUAAGAAAUAGCUUAGGAGCAAUGCUGCUUGGGGUCCAAGUAUGAAUUUUCGCUGAUUUUUGAGAAUUUGGCCAUGUGUUCUUUAUCUAAGCCCGUCUUCUGCCGCAUCAUAUCCAAACAUUAUAUGCACCAGCAAUAUUCCCAAGUAUUCCAGCGGAAAAUCUGGAAAAAUGUUGUUAUGGAAAACCUGUGUCCCCUCAAAAUCCAUAUGUUGAUGUCCUAAUGCUCUAUGGGGUUACGGCUGGAAAGUCUUGGUUGCACUUUCUGUCACUGGUGCAGAAAGAACGUCCCCAGGAAUGGCCAGCGGCCUUUCGCCCGUGACAAGGCCACACAAACAGCAGUCUUCCUCCUGCGCUGGGUGGAAAGCCUGCUCCGGGACUGCUCGGCGUGCAAGGCACCGCGAGGACGGGAGGACGUGAAGGCUUCUAAAUGAAUAUUCUGAGCUCUUACGGCACACACCCUUUGUGCUCAUCUGGAAGAAGUCUAUGGGGACCAGACAGAAGUCAGAUGGAGGUCCCUGCCGCGAACAGAUUUAUCCAGCCCACACGGGAAUGAAUACAAUAGUCUAAGAGCUAAUCCCCCAAAUGUUCUGAAAAUUCCUGGACAUUUAACUUGCUUUUCUUGUGGGAUAAGAUAGAUAGAUAGAUAGACAAUAAAUAAACAGGAUAA